AAGAACACAUUCAUUUGCAUUCCUCAAAACAACUGAAUAUUAAUUAGCAUAAUAGGCCUAUAAAUUUACUGUUACACCAAAAACGCCUAAUUUCUUAAUGAGAUUUUAGGAUGGCUAGCUGAAGCUGAAUAUUCCCCCAAAAAUUAUCAUGCGCGAAAACUCAAGAGUGCACAACCAGGCAGGAUUUAUGCUUUGAUUAAAACAAUAUACAAUUAAUGCUAAUAGUUUGUUAACAGCAUCUACGCUUAAAGAUCUAAAUGCAUAUUACCAUGAAAGUGAUUGACAUGGAGAUACAGUUUGAACGUGUCACCGGUAAAACGUGAAGAAUUAUCAUUCUAUUUUGAAAUAAAUUGGUGUUGAGGGUAUUAGAAAUGUAACCUUUUCUUUAGACAAUGUGGCAUAGGCAGACAUCGCAAUUGGUGGAUGCAUUUUAUGCAUAUUCUAUAAUGAUAGGCUGGCUAUUCAAUUGGCUAAAUAUGUUGGUACAAACUUUGAUUACCUUUUUAAAAAAUUAUUAUUACGAUCCCUCACCUACAAAAAUAGCACUACACCACUGCCCAUUGUGGAGUUGAGUUUAGUCGGUUACCAUCAAUCAAACAAGAGGCAAAGGCUAUUAGUUUGACAGGCCAUGGUUUCCAUUAUAUCCUACAGAACUCCUCUACAUCUGCCUCCGCGUAGUCAAAUUUACACAUAUAAAAACACCGUAUAUAUUUCAUGAGACUGGCCUUACAGAGGCCUAGCGCUACGCUACAGUACAGUAGUACCGAAUAAACCAAGGAAAGCAGUAGGCAAGACCACAUCGUUCAGAAAUGUGUAAUUCUCUUUGGCAAGACCGUCCCAGGUAGGAAUGGAGAUUAUGUGGUCAAUGACCCCUUGAUGAGAUACCUGUGCGCAUGUCAAGAAAGGUGCGCAAGCGAGGUUGAUUUUUUGGGGGACAUGUCAGAUGACACAGACCGCGCUAGCAGUAGUUAGCUAGCGCAACUAAUAGUUAAAACAUUUCUCAAGUGCGUUCGCUGCCAGACCAAUAUAAUUACUUACACACAAACUUAGACCAUCAGACAUACAUACAUACAUAGUAACGAAAUGAACAGUAAAUUGGAAGUUGGAAACUGUUCGCUGGCUAACGUUAGUAGCAUGCAAGCCAGCAGGCUAGCUUUGAUAACGGAAAUGUAAACAAUCAUCGGAGAAUUCUGCAAAAUGAGACGAACUAAGACCGUGAAUCCAACCCAAUGAUAUCAACUUUGUUUGCCACUUCCUGCAACGCCCAGUCGGUGAUGAUGUCAUCACGCACCCACCUUUGCAUCAGCGCAGGAGCUGGGUUGAGAAAGUUCUCAGGGUCAUGCCUGGGGUCUGGGGUAAACCAGCUGGAUGGUGUGUCUACUGUAAGUGAUCAUGAAACCCAAUGGUGUGUGAAAUGGACAACUGGGACUUGGUGUUGGAUUUAUCCUAGAAUCCUCAGCCGCCAGGCAGCCACGCCUCGCAUGCGAAUAACCCAUUAUGACUCCUCCCUCUGGACAAAACACCAAAACCCCUCAUCAAGUUCAUGAAGGAGCACCAGUCAGAGUCGGUAUGGGUGAUAUGUCACUGUUAUUCUCUCUUCUUGGCAAAGGGCUACAUUAGCCUACCCCUGGGGGCUGAGUGCCCACAUCCUCCAGAGUUAUUAACCUAAGUUAGAUGUUUACCGAGACAGAUAUCCCCUGAUGAGCCCAGAGCCAGAUCUCAAAGUAUCCACUAACACUCUGCAACGUGCUGUGCCUGGACCUGGGCCAAAGCACCAGAGAGAUGGCGUAGUCGCUAAACCACCCGCUCAAAUCUCAGUUUGAUCCUCCAUUAUCACAUUAACCCUGGCUAAUUGGAGAAUAUAGGUUCCCCAGAGGAAGAGAGGGUAUUUGUACUCAUUUAGGAACAAAUCUCCACCUUUUUAUCUGACAGUGUAAUCCAAUGACCUGAAACUCAUGGUUUACAGGCCACAUCAGGCCUGUAAAUCAUAUUAUGUUGGCUUGCAAGGUGAUGUGUAAAUCCAAAUAAACACUCUGCCAUGCCUUGGACAAUUUGGUGAGAUAAAUAUGUUGGUACUAUCAGCGGUCAGAGCUCCAGUGUGCAUUAGAGAUGGAAAAAGUA